CAAAACAAUAUUAAAAUAAAAAGGACAAAACUCCCUUUCCAGAACUCGUCGUUCUCUUCUUUCUCCCUCAACUCUCUUUCUUCCCAAAACAGAACUCACCCGAAAAAAAAUUCACCAAGUUGGAUACACCGUUUUUCUCCAAUUCGUCGUGUUACAAGAAUCGGUGUCGCCGCAGACCCAACACCGCGACAUCGUCGUCGCAGUGCUCAGCCGGACGACACCCGAUUCACGAUGGUUGUCGUCAGCUCUCCGUGGUGCCGCCGCUGAAGUUGAUCGCACCGUCCAGAUCGGCAGAUCCGUUUUCACCCCCCGAUGAAUCCCGAUUUACCCCGCAGAUAAGUCGUAAGUUCAUGGCUUGUUAAACUGAAUUGGGGAAGAAGAUUAUACCUUCAAAAGAACAAAUUGGCUUGAAACAAAAUAUUGAAGCUUCUGGCUUCUCCCCCUCCCGAAUCGAUCUGUGAUGAAAUUUGGAUUUGGUGAGGAAAAAUGAAGUUACUUUCUACUGCUCCCUCCGCCGCUUUGCGAUUCAACAGCGAGAAGUGAGUGGCUGCGAAUUUGUGUGAGGGAAGGAGAUUAGGGUAUGUGUAUUAAUAUACCGUUCAAAAUGGGUUCACAAUUGAGAGUUGAUUGUGGUUUAAUUUUGGAAGAGAUUUGCAGAGGAGGAGCGGUUAUUGAGCGUGGGAGAGGGAACGUAAAAUAGAUCAAAGGGAUAGAAAGGAAAAGAAACCGCGUAAGAGAGAAAAGGGAAAUCUCUGCAAAAUAUUGAUUUAAUUUGUAACUAAGGAAAGUCUUGAUGACCAAGACUAGGAGUAGAGAUUUAAAUUAAAAUUGAUUUGGG